GAGACACCCCUAUGGAGCAGGACUUGCUUCAGUGGGGCUUUGGUGCUCACUGAGUCUGCCUCUGAGCAGGUCACU
rnacentral:pre_miRNA from 1 species